rfam:Actinotalea ferrariae CF5-4 contig615, whole genome shotgun sequence.
UGUACGGAGAGUUUGAUCCUGGCUCAGGACGAACGCUGGCGGCGUGCUUAACACAUGCAAGUCGAACGGUGACCUCGGUGCUUGCACCGGGUGAUCAGUGGCGAACGGGUGAGUAACACGUGAGCAACCUACCCCUGACUCUGGGAUAACUCCGAGAAAUCGGUGCUAAUACCGGAUACGAGACGCACAGGCAUCUGUAGCGUCUGGAAAGAAUUUUGGUCAGGGAUGGGCUCGCGGCCUAUCAGCUUGUUGGUGGGGUAACGGCCCACCAAGGCGACGACGGGUAGCCGGCCUGAGAGGGCGACCGGCCACACUGGGACUGAGACACGGCCCAGACUCCUACGGGAGGCAGCAGU